rnacentral:misc_RNA from 1 species
UACGUAGACCUCAAGCGUUAUCCGAAUUUAUUGGGCGUAAAGCGUGUGUAGGAGGUUGUGCGCGUCUGUGGUUAAAGCCCACCGCCUAACGGUGGAUCUGCCACGGAUACGGCACGACUAGAGGAAGUUAGAGGUGCACAGAACGCACGGUGUAGGGGUGAAAUCCGUUGAUAUCGUGCGGAAUACCGAAGGCGAAGGCAGUGCACUGGGACUCUCCUGACUCUGAGACACGAAAGCGUGGGGAGCAAAAAGG